CCCAGCAAAAAUAAACCGUAGAUACUAUUCACAACUGCUCCAUUAGGAGUAAACAUCAAACAUUCAUAACCAAUUAAUAACAAGUUAUCCAAAUGAUAUUCUUUUGUAUGUAUUUAUCAGUUCCCAAUUAAAUUGUGCACCCAAUUAAUUUCUCGUGUCUAUAUAAGCAUUGGCAAACGGGACAUAGCUGCAAAAAUAGCCAGUGCAAACUAAUAGCCAACUACUAGUCGUGGGGCUUAUGAACAAUAUAAGGGCAUUGUGCUUGCUAGCUCUUAUCAUCAUCUCCGCCACUUUCUUGUCCUGCCAUGCAGCAGGUACAGUGGACCUUGGACCUAUUCUUGGGUGUAUAAAGAUGAAAAAAGUCUGCUCAGUUAAUGAGGAGUGCUUGCGGGAAUGUGCUUCCCGUGGUUGGAAUACCCAUAGAUGCAUUUGCACCCAUACUGGCCAUUGUUGUCACUACCCGGAGGCAAUGGAACCAAAUUGAUAGUGGUAGUAGUAUGCUAUAUAGUUGUCAGCCAUGUCCUCUUGCUUUGCAAGGUGAAUGUUAAUCAUCUAUGCCACCGCUGAUAUAAUAGAUGCAACAGAUUUAAUAAACAAAGCUAUGUAGUUGAAUUAUAUUUACGAAGACCCCGCAAAAAAGAAUUAUAUUUACGAAGAGACUAUUCGGGCGAUCAGUUGUUCGCUUUUGCUA